rnacentral:rRNA from 1 species
AAGCAACGCGAAGAACCUUACCAGGUCUUGACAUCCUUUGACCACUCUAGAGAUAGAGCUUCCCCUUCGGGGGCAAAGUGACAGGUGGUGCAUGGUUGUCGUCAGCUCGUGUCGUGAGAUGUUGGGUUAAGUCCCGCAACGAGCGCAACCCUUAUUGUUAGUUGCCAUCAUUCAGUUGGGCACUCUAGCAAGACUGCCGGUGACAAACCGGAGGAAGGUGGGGAUGACGUCAAAUCAUCAUGCCCCUUAUGACCUGGGCUACACACGUGCUACAAUGGGAAGUACAACGAGUUGCGAAGUCGCGAGGCU